AACGAACGCUGGCGGCAUGCCUAACACAUGCAAGUCGAACGAGAUCUUCGGGUCUAGUGGCGCACGGGUGCGUAACGCGUGGGAAUCUGCCCUUUGGUUCGGAAUAACAGUUGGAAACGACUGCUAAUACCGGAUGAUGACGAAAGUCCAAAGAUUUAUCGCCAGAGGAUGAGCCCGCGUAGGAUUAGCUAGUUGGUGUGGUAAAGGCGCACCAAGGCGACGAUCCUUAGCUGGUCUGAGAGGAUGAGCAGCCACACUGGGACUGAGACACGGCCCAGACUCCUACGGGAGGCAGCAGUGGGGAAUAUUGGACAAUGGGCGAAAGCCUGAUCCAGCAAUGCCGCGUGAGUGAUGAAGGCCUUAGGGUUGUAAAGCUCUUUUACCCGGGAUGAUAUUGACAGUACCGGGAGAAUAAGCUCCGGCUAACUCCGUGCCAGCCGCCGCCGUAACAC
rnacentral:rRNA from 1 species